GACGAACGCUGGCGGCGUGCUUAACACAUGCAAGUCGAACGGUAAGGCCCUUCGGGGUACACGGGUGGCGAACGGGUGAGUAACACGUGGGUGAUCUGCCCUGCACUUCGGGAUAAGCCUGGGAAACUGGGUCUAAUACCGGAUAGGACCACUGCCUGCAUGGGUGGGGGUGGAAAGCUUUUGCGGUGUGGGAUGGGCCCGCGGCCUAGCAGCUUGUUGGUGGGGUGAUGGCCUACCAAGGCGACGACGGGUAGCCGGCCUGAGAGGGUGACCGGCCACACUGGGACUGAGAUACGGCCCAGACUCCUACGGGAGGCAGCAGUGGGGAAUAUUGCACAAUGGGCGCAAGCCUGAUGCAGCGACGCCGCGUGAGGGAUGACGGCCUUCGGGUUGUAAACCUCUUUCAGCACCGACGAAGCGCAAGUGACGGUAGGUGCAGAAGAAGGACCGGCCAACUACGUGCCAGCAGCCGCGGUAA
rnacentral:rRNA from 1 species